CAGCUUUCUCGCCAUGAUCGAUUACAAUCGAUUACGAUUCCAUUUUAAGCGCAAAAUUAUAAUCGCCAACAAUACUAACGAACGCGGCUCUCAUCACCAAAACAGUCACUAACGUCGAUUCCGCAAUGCACGACCACAAAUCAACCGGCUCAGGCGCAAAUCAACUGAAACAAGGGUGAACUCGAAUUAGUCAAGUACAUCCGGAUGAAGUCGCGACGGAUUGGCAAGGCCAUUAUGACCAAUCGCUUAUUGCAACUAGACAGCCAAUGGACUUCAAAUCGGGCAUGAAGCUGGAGGUGGUGGAUCGCUAGAAUCAAAUGCUCAUUCGGCCGACAACGGACGUGGCCACGGACGGGUGCAACAUUAAAAUAUGCUUCAAUGAUUGACCAAAUUUUACCACUUACUCUUCUGGAUCGAGGACUAUAGCUUGGACAUUCACCCGAUGAACUGGUGUAAGAGGACCUACCGUACAAUCGAAUUUUCAUGAGAUCAUCGACCUGCGUGUAUUAAAAGCAUCUGUAAAGUUUUAUUCUGCCUGGGAAAGGGGAAUGUCAAAUUUCUAUUUAUUAAAACGUCAAACCAAGAAUAUUAAAAAUAAAAUCGGGAAUUCCUUCGAAAA